UACGGAGGGGGCUAGCGUUGUUCGGAAUUACUGGGCGUAAAGGGCGCGUAGGCGGCGCGAUAAGUUGGGCGUGAAAGGCCCGGGCUCAACCCGGGGACUGCGCUUGAUACUGUCGCGCUGUGAGUCCGGGAGAGGAUGGCGGAAUUCCCAGUGUAGAGGUGAAAUUCGUAGAUAUUCGGAAGAACACCAGUGGCGAAGGCGACAUACUGGUCCGUUACUGACGCUGAGGCUCGAAAGCGUGGGGAGCAAACAGG
rnacentral:rRNA from 1 species